AAACUAAAUUCAAAGAAGGAACUAGUUUGUUCCCACAUUGCGAAGUUUCCUUCUCUCUGAAAUUUCGAGGGUUUCUGUUAAUUCUUCGUUUGGUGGAUCAGCAAUUCGGGAGCAGUUAGCCAUGUUCAGAUUCUGGGGAUCACAAGAGCAACAAUCACAGGAUGGUUCCUCGCAGUCACAGUCGUGGUAUCCACCAUCAGUGGUAAGUUCACCAAGUUCGUCUAGGCCUGCUACACCGUCGGGAUCUUCUUCUUCAUUACCGCAAAGGCCUUCUUCUCAUGUUCCACCCUCCGAAGCCGCUGGAAUCAUUGCUGUUUUGAAGGACAAGAGUGUUGAUGAGUUGCGGAAGCUUUUAUCUGACAAAGAUGCAUACCAGCAGUUUUUACAUUCGCUUGAUCAGGUCAAGAUUCAAACUAAUCUGAAAGAUGAACUUUGCAAGGAGAAUUUGCAGCUUGCAGAGGAAAAUCUUCAAAAGGAGCCUCGUAUCAUGGAACUUAGGAAUCAAUGUAGAAUAAUUCGGACAACUGAGUUAGCUGCCGCUAAAGAGAAACUAAAUGAGCUUGAGAAGCAGAAAGAAGAAAUGUUGAAACUGAAUUCACCAUCGUCUCUUGUCCAGAGGAUUCAAGAGUCUGCGAAUAAGACUGAAGAGGAAUCUGACAAUCUACACCAGCAUUUCCUUGACGGAGAGAUCGAUCUUGGGGGUUUCUUGCAAAAGUACAAGAAGCUACGUACCACUUACCACAAAAAGACUCUCAUACAUCUUGCUGCUAAAACAUCAACUGUAUGAGCGCCAAUUAAAAUAUUAAGAAAGUAACUUGUAUUGGCAAGUACAUAUUUGAUUUUUGAUUCAUUAUUGUCAAUAGUUGAUAUUGGUAAAGGAUACUUGCCACCUAUUAUACAAAGUUGCGGUCGCUGGGAUACAGCAAUCUACUAUUAAUGAGAUUCUUCGUAUAUGUACAGCCUGUGAUUGUUCAUUCCAGUCACAUUCUCGAGUGGUUUCAACGCCAGAGAUGAGGAUUGUUGAGCUUGACACCAGACUUUCCACCACCGAAGUCAGUGGGGAUGUUGCAAACGUUAUCUGGAGAAGACACCAACCUCACGGAGCAUCGUUUUGUAUCCAAUUCCUUGCCAUAGACAUACUUUUUCACACUCAAGCCGUAUUGCCCUAACUCAUCUGUUGUGUCACUUGUAUAGUACACAACCCUGCUUCUCUUGUCCAUGCAUGUUAGGGACACCUUAACUCCUGUCAGUACAUGCGGUAAAUAUGAAUAUGAAUAUGCGAUGUAGGAAAAUAUUAGAAUGAUAUUUGCCACAAUACCUUUCA